CAGGCUUAACACAUGCAAGUCGAGGGGCAGCAUGGUCUUAGCUUGCUAAGGCCGAUGGCGACCGGCGCACGGGUGAGUAACACGUAUCCAACCUGCCGUCUACUCUUGGACAGCCUUCUGAAAGGAAGAUUAAUACAAGAUGGCAUCAUGAGUCCGCAUGUUCACAUGAUUAAAGGUAUUCCGGUAGACGAUGGGGAUGCGUUCCAUUAGAUAGUAGGCGGGGUAACGGCCCACCUAGUCUUCGAUGGAUAGGGGUUCUGAGAGGAAGGUCCCCCACAUUGGAACUGAGACACGGUCCAAACUCCUACGGGAGGCAGCAGUGAGGAAUAUUGGUCAAUGGGCGAGAGCCUGAACCAGCCAAGUAGCGUGAAGGAUGACUGCCCUAUGGGUUGUAAACUUCUUUUAUAAAGGAAUAAAGUCGGGUAUGGAUACCCGUUUGCAUGUACUUUAUGAAUAAGGAUCGGCUAACUCCGUGCCAGCAGCCGCGGUAAUACGGAGGAUCCGAGCGUUAUCCGGAUUUAUUGGGUUUAAAGGGAGCGUAGAUGGAUGUUUAAGUCAGUUGUGAAAGUUUGCGGCUCAACCGUAAAAUUGCAGUUGAUACUGGAUAUCUUGAGUGCAGUUGAGGCAGGCGGAAUUCGUGGUGUAGCGGUGAAAUGCUUAGAUAUCACGAAGAACUCCGAUUGCGAAGGCAGCCUGCUAAGCUGCAACUGACAUUGAGGCUCGAAAGUGUGGGUAUCAAACAGGAUUAGAUACCCUGGUAGUCCACACGGUAAACGAUGAAUACUCGCUGUUUGCGAUAUACUGCAAGCGGCCAAGCGAAAGCGUUAAGUAUUCCACCUGGGGAGUACGCCGGCAACGGUGAAACUCAAAGGAAUUGACGGGGGCCGCACAAGCGGAGGAACAUGUGGUUUAAUUCGAUGAUACGCGAGGAACCUUACCCGGGCUUAAAUUGCAGAUGAAUUACGGUGAAAGCCGUAAGCCGCAAGGCAUCUGUGAAGGUGCUGCAUGGUUGUCGUCAGCUCGUGCCGUGAGGUGUCGGCUUAAGUGCCAUAACGAGCGCAACCCUUGUUGUCAGUUACUAACAGGUUCCGCUGAGGACUCUGACAAGACUGCCAUCGUAAGAUGUGAGGAAGGUGGGGAUGACGUCAAAUCAGCACGGCCCUUACGUCCGGGGCUACACACGUGUUACAAUGGGGGGUACAGAGGGCCGCUACCACGCGAGUGGAUGCCAAUCCCCAAAACCUCUCUCAGUUCGGACUGGAGUCUGCAACCCGACUCCACGAAGCUGGAUUCGCUAGUAAUCGCGCAUCAGCCACGGCGCGGUGAAUACGUUCCCGGGCCUUGUACACACCGCCCGUCAAGCCAUGGGAGCCGGGGGUACCUGAAGUGCGUAACCGCGAGGAGCGCCCUAGGGUAAAACUGGUGACUGGGGC
rnacentral:rRNA from 1 species